AAGAGAGAGGGAGAGGCGGGAGCGAAAUCCGUCCCGUCCUAAUCCGCAUGAAUCCGGAUGGACGACGAACGUAAACAUUGAGCCGAACGGGAGUGGAGUGUUGACAGAGACUUAGCACCUUUAUCACCUGUUCCCAGCACUGCACCGAGUCACGCAGGUCCGCGUCCAUGCCAUCAAACGCCCACGUCCACGUACUCACAAGCCUGCGGGGGUGACUUGACAAAGGCUCUCUCUCUCCCACAGCCUCUCCCUUGGCCAAGUCAGCACCGAGGCAGAGUUGAUUGAUAUAUUGGUGUUGAAUUCAUAUGAUCGAAGCAGUGUUGGGGAAGAUGAGGAUUAUUCAUCAGGCGUGGCGUGUGCUGUCUGCAUUUCACCAUCCCAUGAACAGCCCACAGGAAUCUCAACCACAUCAGGCCUGACAUACUCAUUGCAAUUAGGGAGUCGAGUUUAACCAGGGAGAGGCCGAGUGUCACUACCUGUAAGCCUGACGAGGUGUUAAGGAGUUUAAUCAGGAAGUGAGGCUGAGUCUUGCUACCUGUAAGCCUGAUGAGGUGUGUUAAGUCAAGGAGUUUAAUCAGGAAGAGAGGCUGAGUCUUGCUACCUUUAAGCCUGACGAGAGGAGUCAAGGAGUUUUCAUUGCAAUCAAGGAAGAGUCAAGUUGUAAGAAGAUUGUAAGGCAAGAAUUUUAAGCAGGAAUAAUUGUCAAGCAGUUAACAGCAGGAAGAAUGCAGCGAGAAAAGGGUACAAGAGUUUUCAAGUUGUAAGAAGAUUGUAAGGCAAGAAUUUUAAGCAGGAAAAAGUAAGGUAAGAAUUUUAAGCAGGGAUAAUUGUCAAGCAGUUAACAGCAGGAAGAAUGCAGCGAGAAAAGGGUACAAGUUUUCAAGUUGUAACAAGAUUGUAAGGCAAGAAUUUUAAGCAGGAAAAAUAGUCAAGCAGUUUAGCAGCAGGAAGACUCCCUUCAAGCUGAGGUGGGAGUGACAAGCAUCCUUCAGGACUUGCAAAGGCUGAAGUCCUCAACACUAGUCUCACUCAAGUUGACACAAGAGCUCUCUGACACAAGGAAAACAAAUGACAUGUUUAUCAUCCUAUUGUGUAUUUAUUAAACUUUUAUGUGAUUAAACAAUAGUGAUUAAACAAUAUAUUGUACAUA